AGGACGAAGGGCUGAAGAAAGCCUUCAUGAGGUCCAGCAUCAUGAUCACCAAAGCUGUUGCCUACAGCAGGAGGCAAGACGUCCAUUUGCCCCAUAAACAGGAACUGCUCACAAACAUCAUUAAGUCGUUGACGAUGAGCCCACAAGACCCUUGUCCAUUGUAAAUCUCCAUCAAGCGAUUGUCACCAUCACCUGCAUGAGGAUUUUUAUCACCAGAUGAUGACCACCUGCAACACUAUGCUAACCGGCUUGCUGUCCGAGGCUCCCAAUUUGGAUUCCCUGCAGGAUGUCUUGAUUUUAAAGAGGGAUUCUUUCUUGGAGUUGGUCGCAUGGUCAGCUGGAUUUGGUGAUUCUGUCCACCUGUCGUGUCCCUCCCAAGGACCUGGGCUAGGCAAAAGUGGCUGUUGGAUGGGAAAGGUAUCAUCGCAGCUGCCAAAUGUGACAACUCGUAACGGCCACCGGAAAACUUGCUGUGGGAGAAUUCAACAAUUCAAUUUAAUUAAUUUAAAUAGUUAAAAAAUGAUUUUAAUUUUUGUCAUUUAUAUUUUGUUUUGUCCCUCCUCUGGCAUCUUUUC